AGCAGUAGCCACGGUAAUGCGUAGGUGGCAAGCGUUGUCCGGAAUUAUUGGGCGUAAAGGGCUCGCAGGCGGUUUCUUAAGUCUGAUGUGAAAGCCCCCGGCUCAACCGGGGAGGGUCAUUGGAAACUGGGAAACUUGAGUGCAGAAGAGGAGAGCGGAAUUCCACGUGUAGCGGUGAAAUGCGUAGAGAUGUGGAGGAACACCAGUGGCGAAGGCGACUCUCUGGUCUGUAACUGACGCUGAGGAGCGAAAGCGUGGGGAGCGAACAGGAUUAGAUACCCCGGUAGUCCCUGUCUCUUAUAC
rnacentral:rRNA from 1 species